rnacentral:tRNA from 1 species
GAGGUGUUAGUUAAUGCCAACCCUGAUGUUUUCUUUGCAGGAUGGAAUUACGGUAUGCGGUUGGGCGGCUCAGUCACGCCUGA